rnacentral:lncRNA from 1 species
GGAAAGACCACAUCCAUGGACAGCGUGGGGACCUUCUAAGAGCUGGCCAGCAAGGACCUGGCCACAGGGCAUCGGGCGGAGGCAGUGCAGCCGUGAGCCUGCAGCGGGCACAGCUGCUGCUGACGGACCCCCAGACCCUGGAGGGACAUGCCCAGCGCACCUCAGCCCCAGGCAGUGUCAGGGGACCUGGAGCCAGCACAGUCCACGGGGCCAGCCCGGACACGGAGAGACCAGCCCCCAAAGGGCCCUCCUGGCGAGCUGCAGGUCCCACACCUAGGGAAGCCGAGCUCCCACCUGCACCCCACUUGCACCCCAGCAAGCCCCUCGCGGCCAUUACCUGUGCCGUGCCUGCCGCCGCCUCUGUCCACCGCCUCCAGCCCCAUCCUCAGUGGCACCGCUGCCAACCGGCUGCGCCUCCCAACCCGGGCUGCCGGCGACUUGCGGUGGUUGUAUCGUGGGGUUUGGCCCGUGCCGCCACUGGCACUCGGCGAUGGCAAGCGUCCAUCUUCCUGCACACCCGUCCUUCACCUCCGCUGCCUCCCGGUGCCCUCAGAGUCCCCGCGGUGCCCGCUCGGAGGGGAGUUGGCACGGACGGAGCCCAACCCGCCUCUGCAGCUGAGUGUAGCCGGCUCCUUUUUUGUGUAUUUUAAACACACACGCACACUCUUUCACACGCACACACGCCAAGCCCCCCACCCCCAACAACACGCAUCCCUUCUGUCGGGAGCAGACCCAGCCAAGAAAGCCCCGAGCAGGCGGGGAGGAGAGGGGGCCUCCGAGCGGUGGAAACCAGCCCCAUGCUCCUGCCUCCUGUGCCCAUCGCGCGCCCCUGGCGCCCCCGCUUACGAAAACCACCAGGAAGGAAAAAGAGGACUCACAUCCGAGUCAUACCUCGGAGCCUCCGAUCGGGUCACCUCCCUCCCAGCCCCGUGCUUCAGAGCAGGCUCUGGCCCCACCGCCUGCUUCCCACCACUGACCCUCCUAGCCACACCCCCGUCCUGCGGCCGUGGUGGGCACGCCGGCUCCCCCGCACUCCUGGCCGUGACGGGUGUUUAUCGAGUGCCAGCCCCGCUGCA